rnacentral:tRNA from 1 species
GGUUCCAUGUAAGGAUAUUGGACUCAAAUUCCAAUAGCCCAAGUUCAAAUCUUGGUGGAACGU